rnacentral:misc_RNA from 1 species
GAUGAAGAACGUAGUGAAAUGCGAUAAGUAAUGUGAAUUGCAGAAUUCCGUGAAUCAUCGAAUCUUUGAACGCGCAUUGCGCCCCCUGGUAUUCCGGGGGGCAUGCCUGCCCGAGCGUCAUUUCAAACCCUCAAGCCCGGCUUGUGUCACUGGGUCCGGCGUCUGUCCCCGGCGGCAGAUGGGCCCGAAAGGCAGUGGCGGCGCGGUGCGUCCAGCUGCAGUGCAUGGGAACUCUUCUCGCACUGGUGGCGCGCGUCCACGCUUGCCCCCCAUUGUUACCCCCACGUCUGACCUCGGAUCAGGUAGGGAUACCCGCUGAACUUAAGCAUAUCAAUAAGCGGAGGA